rnacentral:sRNA from 1 species
GCUGGGCAUGGUGGUGCAUGCCUGUAGUCCCAGCUACUCUGGAGGCUGAGGCAGGAGAAUUGCUUGAAUCCAGGAGGCAGAGAUUGCAGUGAGCCGAGAUCGCACCACUGCACUCCAGCCUGGGAGACAGAGCAAGACUCUGUCUCAA